AGAAAUCCUUUGAGCAAAAGUAAGUAGCUUGGCAAACGGUUUUACAGAGAGCUGCCGGUUGGUGGAAGACAGCAGAUACGAGUCAUGCGAAUGGGUUUGUGAGGAGCGCAGAGAACGCAUAUUGUCAGUAACUGUCGACGUGAUCCCACGUUACGGGAACGGAGUAUAAAAGUUUAGGCGGAGUACUCUUAGAGGAGAGUCUGUAAUUUCAGAAGGACUCUUAAAUUUGGGUGGCACCACGGUCUAUCGUCCCUUGU
rnacentral:ncRNA from 1 species